rnacentral:lncRNA from 1 species
UGGUGCAUAGAAUAAUAGUAUGGUGAACGUGCAUUUGAGUUUGACUUCAUUUGCUGUAUCAUGUCCUGAACAUCAUGAAAUAUUUGCCACUGGACAACAUUGUAUCAUUCUUAAGUUAUCAAGAUAAACAUGCUGAAAGUUGACCCUGAGAACUACAGAUGUAUAUGAAAUGUUUUAACAAAAAUUUAAUAUCUAUCCAAAAAUUA